GCUCCGCUGCGCGUCCGUAAACGCGCUGGAAGAAGAUUGUCCCGGUUCGCGAUCCGGCGCUCACGCCGUUGCUAGGCGACCACAGCAGUUUUUCCUAUCUGAUUGGAGCUCAGAUGCCCUGGCAUUGCGCAUGUGUGCAGCCUAAGAUGGAGGAUUCGGAACCGGAGCGGAAGCGGGCACGCGCGGACGAGGCGACCGCGGGUGGGAGCCGCUCCGAGGACGAGGAUGAGGACGACGAGGACUACGUACCCUAUGUGCCGUUGCGGCAGCGCCGGCAGCUACUGCUCCAGAAGCUGCUGCAGCGAAGACGCAAGGGCGCUACGGAGGAAGAGCAGCAGGACAGUGGCAGUGAGCCCCGAGGAGAUGAGGACGACAUCCCGCUGGGCCCUCAGUCCAAUGUCAGCCUCCUGGAUCAGCACCAGCACCUCAAAGAGAAGGCUGAAGCACGCAAGGAGUCCGCCAAGGAAAAGCAACUGAAGGAAGAAGAAAAGAUUCUGGAGAGUGUGGCUGAAGGCCGAGCCUUGAUGUCAGUGAAGGAAAUGGCCAAAGGCAUCACCUAUGACGAUCCAAUCAAAACUAGUUGGACACCCCCGCGUUAUGUCCUGAGCAUGUCUGAGGAGCGGCAUGAGCGAGUUCGGAAGAAGUAUCACAUCCUGGUGGAGGGCGAUGGUAUCCCGCCACCCAUCAAGAGCUUCAAGGAGAUGAAGUUUCCUGCAGCUAUCCUUCGGGGCCUGAAAAAAAAGGGCAUCCUCCACCCAACACCCAUUCAGAUCCAGGGCAUCCCUACCAUUCUGUCCGGUCGGGACAUGAUCGGCAUUGCCUUCACGGGGUCAGGCAAGACACUGGUAUUCACUCUGCCAGUCAUCAUGUUCUGCCUGGAACAGGAGAAGCGGUUGCCUUUCUCCAAGCGAGAGGGGCCUUAUGGGCUCAUCAUCUGCCCCUCGCGAGAGCUGGCUCGGCAGACCCACGGCAUCCUGGAGUAUUACUGCCGUCUGCUGCAGGAGGACAGCUCACCCCUCCUGCGCUGUGCCCUCUGCAUCGGGGGCAUGUCGGUGAAGGAGCAGAUGGAGACCAUCCGACAUGGUGUGCACAUGAUGGUAGCCACACCUGGACGCCUCAUGGAUUUGCUGCAGAAGAAAAUGGUCAGCCUAGACAUCUGCCGCUACCUAGCCCUGGAUGAAGCUGACCGCAUGAUUGACAUGGGCUUUGAGGGUGACAUUCGUACCAUCUUCUCCUACUUCAAGGGCCAACGGCAGACUCUGCUCUUCAGUGCCACCAUGCCGAAGAAGAUUCAAAACUUUGCCAAGAGUGCCUUGGUAAAGCCUGUCACCAUCAAUGUGGGUCGUGCUGGAGCAGCCAGCCUUGAUGUCAUCCAGGAGGUGGAGUAUGUGAAGGAGGAAGCCAAGAUGGUGUACUUGCUUGAGUGCCUGCAGAAGACACCCCCACCUGUGCUCAUCUUUGCAGAGAAGAAAGCAGAUGUGGAUGCCAUUCACGAAUACCUCCUGCUCAAGGGUGUUGAGGCUGUAGCCAUUCAUGGGGGCAAAGUUCUGACACCUACCUGACCCACCCCAGACCAGGAAGAGCGGACCAAGGCCAUUGAGGCAUUCCGGGAAGGCAAGAAGGACGUCUUAGUGGCCACAGAUGUGGCCUCUAAAGGCCUGGACUUUCCUGCCAUCCAGCAUGUCAUCAACUAUGACAUGCCUGAAGAGAUAGAAAACUAUGUGCACAGAAUUGGCCGCACUGGGCGUUCAGGAAACACAGGCAUCGCUACCACCUUCAUCAACAAGGCCUGCGAUGAGUCAGUGCUCAUGGACCUCAAAGCCUUGUUGCUGGAGGCCAAGCAGAAGGUACCACCUGUUCUGCAAGUGCUGCACUGUGGGGACGAGUCCAUGCUGGACAUUGGAGGAGAACGGGGCUGUGCCUUCUGUGGAGGCCUUGGCCAUCGGAUCACUGACUGCCCCAAACUUGAAGCUAUGCAGACCAAGCAGGUCAGCAACAUUGGCCGCAAGGACUACCUGGCCCACAGCUCCAUGGACUUCUGAGCCGUCUGACUUCUCUCUUCUCCCCAAGAGUCCAAUGCUAGGACACUGGCCAUGUGCACACCAGCACUCAAGACAAGAAGCCAGCCUCCCGGCCCAGCUGGCCUGGGCAGCCCCAGUGCCCUCAGAAUUACUAUUUUUGUUCUCCUCCCCAGCAUUAAAGCACAAUCCCUUUU